rnacentral:rRNA from 1 species
ACGGAGGGGGCUAGCGUUGUUCGGAAAUACUGGGCGUAAAGCGAACGUAGGCGGCUUGGCAAGUCAGGGGUGAAAUCCCAGUGCUCAACACUGGAACUGCCUUUGAAACUGCCAGGCUUGAAUCCUGGAGAGGCGAGUGGAAUUCCGAGUGUAGAGGUGAAAUUCGUAGAUAUUCGGAAGAACACCAGUGGCGAAGGCGACUCGCUGGACAGGUAUUGACGCUGAGGUUCGAAAGCGUGGGGAGCAAACAGG